rnacentral:rRNA from 1 species
AUGGAGUCCCUGGGCGUGCUGCUGCUGCACCCCAUGAACGCCUACCUGGAGCAGGAGCUCGACCGCCGCUUCCGCCUCUUCCGCUUCUGGGACUCCCCUCCCGACGGCCGCGCCGAGUUCCUCCGCGCCAACGCCUCCGCCAUCCGCGCCGUCGUCGGCAACGCCGGCUACAACGCCGACGCCGCGCUCAUCGACGCGCUGCCGUCGCUCGAGAUCGUCGCCUCCUUCUCUGUGGGGAUCGACCGCGUCGACCUCCCCAAGUGCCGCGAGCGCGGGAUCCGCGUCACCAACACCCCCGACGUCCUCACCGACGACGUCGCCGACCUCGCCGUCGGCCUCGCCAUCGCCGCGCUGAGGAAGAUCCCGCAGGCCGACCGCUACGUGCGCGCCGGCCUGUGGAAGGCCAAGGGGGACUACACACUCACCGCGCGGUUCAGUGGCAAAAGAGUGGGCAUCAUCGGGCUGGGCAGGAUAGGGCUUGCCAUUGCCACCCGAGUGGAGGCCUUUGAUUGCCCAGUCAACUACUACCAGAGAACAAAGAAAGACUACCCCAACUACACCUAUUACCCGAGCGUGGUCGAACUGGCGGCAAACAGCGACAUCCUGGUGGUGGCUUGUCCGCUGAAUGAGCAGACCCGGCACAUCGUCAACCGCGAGGUGAUCGAGGUGCUGGGGCCCAAGGGCGUGCUCAUAAACAUCGGGCGCGGCCCUCACGUCGACGAGCCCGAGCUGGUCUCGGCGCUCGUCGAGGGGCGCCUCGGCGGGGCAGGCCUCGACGUGUUCGAGGACGAGCCCAACGUGCCUGAGGCGCUGUUCGCGCUCGACAACGUCGUCCUGGUGCCACACGUGGGGAGCGGGACGCACGAGACGCGCCAGGCCAUGGCGGACCUUGUCCUGGGCAACCUGGAGGCGCAUGUUCUGAAGAAGCCGCUGCUGACUCCGGUUGUCUGA